rfam:Lasius niger Lnig_2.1_16139, whole genome shotgun sequence.
GGACCCUUAGCUUAGCUUGGUUUAAAGUCCCCGGCUCAUAACCGGGUGAUCAUUGGUUCAAAUCCAAUAGGGUCCA